UACGAAGGGGACUAGCGUUGUUCGGAUUUACUGGGCGUAAAGCGCGCGUAGGCGGAUCGCUAAGUCAGGGGUGAAAUCCCAGGGCUCAACCCUGGAACUGCCUUUGAUACUGACGAUCUGGAGAUCGGGAGAGGUUGGUGGGAUUCCGAGUGUAGAGGUGAAAUUCGUAGAUAUUCGGAGGAACACCAGAAGCGAAGGCGGCCAACUGGCCCGAUACUGACGCUGAGGCGCGAAAGCGUGGGGAGCAAACAGG
rnacentral:rRNA from 1 species